rnacentral:rRNA from 1 species
AUGCUCCGCCUCCGGGGCUGCAUCCUCCCCCGCCUCCUCUCACCUCCCGCCACCCCCCUCCACCGCCUCCUCUCCGCGGCCGUUUCUCCGAGCCCUCCUAGCUUUGCCGUGGAGGAGUACCUCGUCGCCACCUGUGGCCUCACCCCAGCGCAGGCCCGCAAGGCCUCCCCCAAGCUCUCCCACCUCAAGUCCCCAGCCAACCCCGACGCCGUCCUCGCCUUCCUCGCCGGCCUUGGCCUCUCCGGCGCCGACCUCGCCACCGCCAUCCGCAAGGAUCCCAGGUUGCUCUGCGCGGGCGUGGAGACAACCCUGGCCCCCAAUGUCGCGGAGCUCACCGGCCUGGGUCUCUCGCGUUCUGAGAUCGCGCGCCUCGUCUCGAUCACCGGCACCAGUUUCCGCUGCAAAUCCAUCGUCUCUGGACUGCACUACUGCUUGCCCCUCUUCGGCUCCUCAGAGAACCUCCUUCGGGCCCUAAAGAGUGGCUCCAUUCUCUCGUCCGACCUCGAGCGAGUGGUCAAGCCCAAUGUCGCCUUCCUGCGGGAGUGUGGCCUGGCUACUUGUGAUAUUGCCAGGCUCUGCAUACCUAUGCCAUCGCUGCUCAGCAUCAGCACGGAACGCAUCCAGACAGCAGUGGCGUGCGUCGAAGGUCUUGGUGUACCCCGUGGAUCUCCAAUGUUCAGACAUGCACUACAAGCUGUUGCAUUCCUCAGCCAGGAGAAAAUCACCGCCAAAGUGGAGCACUUGAAGAAAGCGUUCAGGUGGUCGGAUGCCGAGGUGGGUAUUGCCGUUUCUAAGGCUCCAACGUUGCUGACGAGGACCAAGGAGUCGCUGCAGCGCAGGUCUGAGUUCCUCAUCUAUGAGGUGUGGUUGGAACCGGCAUAUAUUGCUUAUCGUCCGGCAAUGCUCACUUACAGCUUGGAGGGCCGGCUCAGGCCCCGGUACUACGUCGUCAGAUUUCUCAAGGAAAAUGGAUUGCUAGAUCACGACCGGGACUACUAUGCUGCAGUCAUGAUCAGCGAGAAGGUAUUCGUCCAGAAGUUUAUAUGCCCUCAUAAGGAUGCUGCACCGCAUCUCGCUCAAGAUUAUGCAACAGCUUGCAGAGGGGAGGUUCCAGCUAGAUUCAGUUUUACAUGA